GUGUCGUGAGAUGUUGGGUUAAGGUCCCGUAACGAGCGCAACCCUUGUCCUUAGUUACCUAGCACGUUAUGGUAGGCACUCUAAGGAGACUGCCGGUGCAAACCGAGGAAGGUGGGGAUGACGUCAAGUCAUCAUGGCCCUUACGGCCUGGGCUACACACGUGCUACAAUGGUCGGUACAAAGGGUUGCCAAGCCGCGAGGUGGAGCUAAUCCCAUAAAACCGAUCGUAGUCCGGAUCGCAGUCUGCAACUCGACUGCGUGAAGUCAGAAUCGCUAGUAAUCGUGAAUCAGAAUGUCACGGUGAAUACGUUCCCGGGCCUU
rnacentral:rRNA from 1 species